rnacentral:rRNA from 1 species
CCUACGGGUGGCAGCAGUGAGGAAUAUUGGUCAAUGGGCGGGAGCCUGAACCAGCCAAGCCGCGUGAGGGAAGAAGGUACAGCGUAUCGUAAACCUCUUUUGUCAGGGAACAAAGGCGGGGACUAGUCCCCGGAUGAGGGUACCUGAAGAAAAAGCAUCGGCUAACUCCGUGCCAGCAGCCGCGGUAAUACGGAGGAUGCGAGCGUUAUCCGGAUUUAUUGGGUUUAAAGGGUGCGCAGGCGGCCUGUUAAGUCAGCGGGAAAAGCCCGGGGCUAAACCCCGGCGAGCCGUGGAAACUGGCGGGCUGGAGUUGGAGAGAAGUACGCGGAAUGCGCGGUGUAGCGGUGAAAUGCUUAGAUAUCGCGCAGAACCCCGAUUGAGAAGGCAGCGUACCGGCUCCACACUGACGCUGAGGCACGAAAGCGUGGGUAUCGAACAGGAUUAGAUACCCUAGUAGUC